AGAAUCAACGCUGGCGGCGUGCCUAACACAUGCAAGUCGCACGAGAAAGUAGACUUCGGUCUGCGAGUAAAGUGGCGCACGGGUGAGUAACACGUGAAUAAUCUACCUCCGAGUGGGGAAUAACUUCGGGAAACCGAGGCUAAUACCGCAUAACACUUACGAGUCAAAGCAGCAAUGCGCUUGGAGAGGAGUUCGCGGCAGAUUAGUUAGUUGGCGGGGUAAUGGCCCACCAAGACGAUGAUCUGUAUCCGGCCUGAGAGGGCGCACGGACACACUGGAACUGAAACGCGGUCCAGACUCCUACGGGAGGCAGCAGUGGGGAAUUUUGCGCAAUGGGGGAAACCCUGACGCAGCAACGCCGCGUGGAGGAAGAAAUAUCUUGGUAUGUAAACUCCUUUCGAUCGGGACGAUAAUGACGGUACCGAGAGAAGAAGCCCCGGCUAACUUCGCGCCAGCAGCCGC
rnacentral:rRNA from 1 species